AUUGAACGCUGGCGGCAGGCCUAACACAUGCAAGUCGAACGAGUGGCGGACGGGUGCGUAAUGUCUGGGAAACUGCCCGAUGGAGGGGGCUAACUACUGGAAAAGGUAGCUAAUACCGCAUACCAUCUGAUGUGCCCAGAUGGGAUUAGCUAGUAGGUUGGGUAACGGCUCACCUAGGCGACGAUCCCUAGCUGGUCUGAGAGGAUGACCAGCCACACUGGAACUGAGACACGGUCCAGACUCUGACGGGAGGCAGCAGUGGGGAAUAGUGCACAAUGGGCGCAAGCCUGAUGCAGCCAUGCCGCGCGUAUUAAGAAGGCCUUCGGGUUGUAAAGUACUUUCAGCGAGGAGGCGUUACUCUCAGAAGAAGCACCGGCUAACUCCGUGCCAGCCGCCGCGAUAAUUC
rnacentral:rRNA from 1 species